GAUGAACGCUGGCGGCGUGCCUAAUACAUGCAAGUCGAGCGAACAGACGAGGAGCUUGCUCCUCUGACUUUAGCGGCGGACGGGAGAGUAACACGUGGAUAACCUACCUAUAAGACUGGGAUAACUUCGGGAAACCGGAGCUAAUACCGGAUAAUAUAUUGAACCGCAUGGUUCAAUAGUGAAAGACGGUUUUGCUGUCACUUAUAGCUGGCUCCGCGCCGCAUUAGCUAGUUGGUAAGGUAACGGCUUACCAAGGCAACGAUGCGUAGCCGACCUGAGAGGGUGAUCGGCCACACUGGAACUGAGACACGGUCCAGACUCCGACGGGAGGCAGCAGUAGGGAAUCUUCCGCAAUGGGCGAAAGCUUGACGGAGCAACGCCGCGUGAGGGAUGAAGGUCUUAGGAUCGUAAAACUCUGUUAUUAGGGAAGAACAAAUGUGUAAGUAACUAUGCACGUCUUGACGGUACCUAAUCAGAAAGCCACGGCUAACUACGUG
rnacentral:rRNA from 1 species